GACGAACCGAGCGAACGUUGUUCGGAAUCACUGGGCUUAAAGGGCGCGUAGGCGGGCUGCCAAGUUUGGGGUGAAAUCCUCCGGCUCAACCGGAGCAGUGCCUCGAAUACUGGCGGUCUCGAGGGAGGUAGGGGCGUGCGGAACUGUGGGUGGAGCGGUGAAAUGCGUUGAUAUCCACAGGAACUCCGGUGGCGAAGGCGGCACGCUGGACCUUUUCUGACGCUGAGGCGCGAAAGCCAGGGGAGCGAACGGG
rnacentral:rRNA from 1 species